rnacentral:rRNA from 1 species
AUUGAACGCUGGCGGCAGGCCUAACACAUGCAAGUCGAACGAGUGGCGGACGGGUGGGUAAUGUCUGGGAAACUGCCCGAUGGAUGGGGAUAACUACUGGAAACAGUAGCUAAUACCGCAUACCAUCGGACGUGCCCAGAUGGGAUUAGCGAGUUGGUGGGGUAACGGCUCACCUAGGCGACGAUCCCUAGCUGGUCUGAGAGGAUGACCAGCCACACUGGGACUGAGACACGGUCCAGACUCCUACGGGAGGCAGCAGUGGGGAAUAUUGCACAAUGGGAGCAAGCCUGAUACAGCCAUGCCGCAUGUAUGAAGAAGGCCAUCGGGUUGUAAAGUACUUUCAGCGAGGAGGCGUUACUCGCAGAAGAAGCACCGGCUAACUACGUGCCAGCAGCCGCGGUAAUUC